rnacentral:rRNA from 1 species
CAUCGCCACGGUGAAUACGUUCCCGGGCCUUGUACACACCGCCCGUCACGCCAUGGAAGUGGCGAGCGCCUAGGGUAAAACUGGUGACUGGGGCU